GCCAGACUCCUACGGGAGGCAGCAGUGGGGGAUAUUGCACAAUGGGGGGAACCCUGAUGCAGCGACGCCGCGUGGGUGAAGGAGCGUUUCGGCGCGUAAAGCCCUAUCGGCAGGGAAGAAGGAGGACGGUACCUGACUAAGAAGCCCCGGCUAACUACGUGCCAGCAGCCGCGGUAAUACGUAGGGGGCAAGCGUUAUCCGGAUUUACUGGGUGUAAAGGGGGCGCAGACGGCAGCGCAAGCCAGGAGUGAAAGCCCGGGGCCCAACCCCGGGACUGCUCUUGGAACUGCGCGGCUGGAGUGCGGGAGGGGCAGGCGGAAUUCCUGGUGUAGCGGUGAAAUGCGUAGAUAUUAGGAGGAACACCAGUUGCGAAGGCGGCUCUCUGGACUGUAACUGACACUGAGGCACGAAAGCGUGGGGAGCAAACAGGAUUAGAUACCCCGGUAA
rnacentral:rRNA from 1 species